CUUUCUUUUCUUCUUCCUCCUUUUCUCGUUUCUUGUUUCUCAGAUUUCUCUCCUCUCUCUUCUCUCUCACAGUCACGACACUGCAUCUCUUUUUCUUUUCAAUUACUCGUCGGAAAUCGAAAGCCCUGAUUUCAGAGACUUGAAGUUAUGAUGUGAAGUGCCAAAUUCGGAUUGUCUCCCUGUCUGAAACUGUUGAUGAAAGUUUGAAUCUUUUUCUGUUUUUGUUUUGAAAACUGGGUUUCAAGAUAACCAGGAGAUGAAGAAGAUGAAGAACAGCCGGAGAUGGAGAGAAGAGGCGGAGGCAGAGGAAUAAGCAACGAUGGAGAUUGAAGAGCAGACAGAGACGCGUACGAAGAUGACGAGCAGAUCGAACGGUGGUGGUCGUGGCUGGUGGUCUAGGCGUCGUGGCGGCGGAGAUUGAAGAAGAACGUGAUUUAGUUAGGCUUAGUUAGGUUAGGUUUGGUUAGGGUUAGUUAAUAAACCAGAUUUGUAUGUAAACCGGUUUUUGUAAUAAACCCAUACAUUUGUAAACCAAAAUUUUUAAUAAUAAAUAUUUCUUUUCACAAA